GGGGGUGAACUAGGUUCGACGUUAACUUGUUCUGUCAGAUCAGCAGGUCAUGGUUGACCAGGCCAUGUAAAACAGGGUCAAAAACACAAAAGCCAACUCCAACGAGAUGGCCUGGGCGCACGCUUAAGUGUGCCUCGCUUAUAGCCUACCCGCCUGAGCGGGCUAUAUUGCGUAAAAUUCAGGCUGCUGUCGUCAGGGGCGCACUUCGUCCCGUGCCGGCUUAAGACAAUACGAAGCAUGGCCGGGACUUGUCGUCCUGAACUAAUCCCGGCCGAGACACACUCAGGGCUAAGCCUGUAGCGGUUCUGACAAGCGGUUGGCGGACUCGAGUGCAACUCUCGACACCUCCACCA
rnacentral:tmRNA from 1 species